GCUGUCGGUGGGGAGCCUGAAUUCGCAACGAGGAGGUCAGCGGUUCGAUCCCGCUCAGCUCCACCA
rnacentral:tRNA from 1 species